rnacentral:snoRNA from 1 species
AGUCUCCUGAUGCUUACCACAGGUUGUGUUCUUACACUGACUGUAUAGAAAGAGGAGGUAGAGUAAACCUACUCCAUAUACACCUCAGCUCAGGCCCUGUGUCUGGUCCGUAUUGUGUGUGUCUGGUCUGUAUUGUGAAUGGGGUGG